AAUAAAUGUAGUAGUCAAGGUGUUAAUACUUAAUAGGGAAAGUGGUUAAAAUCCACUACAGCCCCCGCUACUGUGAGUGUGGACAAAAGUUCUAAUAUCCACUGUCUUAAUUGAUGGGAAGGAGAACUAAGGAUGAAGCACAAGUCAGGAGACCUGCCUCGACAAUUUAUUUACC
rnacentral:ncRNA from 2 species